GACGAACGCUGGCGGCGGGCUUAACACAUGCAAGUCGAACGGAAAGGCCCUGCGUUUGUGGGGUGCUCGAGUGGCGAACGGGUGAGUAACACGUGAGUAACCUGCCCUUGACUUUGGUGUAACUUCAGGAAACUGGGGCUAAUACCGUAUAGCAUCUCCUGCUGCAUGGUGGGGGUUGGAAAGUUUAGGCGGUUGGGGAUGGAUGCGCGGCUUAUCAGCUUGUUGGUGGGGUAGUUGCUUACCAAGGCUUUGACCGGUAGCUGGCCUGAGAGGGUGACCGGCCACAAUGGGCCUGAGGUACGGACCAGACUCCUACGGGAGGCAGAAGUGGGAAACCUUGCCCAAUGGGAGGAAGCCUGAUGCAGAAACGCCGCGUGCGGGAUGCCGGCCUUCGGGUUGUAAACCGCUUUCGCCUGUGACGACGCGUGAGUGACGGUAAUGGGUAAAGAAGCACCGGCUAACUACGUG
rnacentral:rRNA from 1 species